rnacentral:SRP_RNA from 3 species
UGUUGGUUCUCCCGCAACGCUACUCUGUUUACCAGGUCAGGUCCGGAAGGAAGCAGCCAAGGCAGAUGACGCGCGUGUGCCGGGAUGUAGCUGGCAGGG